GGGUUGUGAGGUUAAGCGACUAAGCGUACACGGUGGAUGCCCUGGCAGUCAGAGGCGAUGAAGGACGUGCUAAUCUGCGAUAAGCGUCGGUAAGGUGAUAUGAACCGUUAUAACCGGCGAUUUCCGAAUGGGGAAACCCAGUGUGUUUCGACACACUAUCAUUAACUGAAUCCAUAGGUUAAUGAGGCGAACCGGGGGAACUGAAACAUCUAAGUACCCCGAGGAAAAGAAAUCAACCGAGAUUCCCCCAGUAGCGGCGAGCGAACGGGGAGCAGCCCAGAGCCUGAAUCAGUGUGUGUGUUAGUGGAAGCGUCUGGAAAGGCGCGCGAUACAGGGUGACAGCCCCGUACACAAAAAUGCACAUGCUGUGAGCUCGAUGAGUAGGGCGGGACACGUGGUAUCCUGUCUGAAUAUGGGGGACCAUCCUCCAAGGCUAAAUACUCCUGACUGACCGAUAGUGAACCAGUACCGUGAGGGAAAGGCGAAAAGAACCCCGGCGAGGGGAGUGAAAAAGAACCUGAAACCGUGUACGUACAAGCAGUGGGAGCACGCUUAGGCGUGUGACUGCGUACCUUUUGUAUAAUGGGUCAGCGACUUAUAUUCUGUAGCAAGGUUAACCGAAUAGGGGAGCCGAAGGGAAACCGAGUCUUAACUGGGCGUUAAGUUGCAGGGUAUAGACCCGAAACCCGGUGAUCUAGCCAUGGGCAGGUUGAAGGUUGGGUAACACUAACUGGAGGACCGAACCGACUAAUGUUGAAAAAUUAGCGGAUGACUUGUGGCUGGGGGUGAAAGGCCAAUCAAACCGGGAGAUAGCUGGUUCUCCCCGAAAGCUAUUUAGGUAGCGCCUCGUGAAUUCAUCUCCGGGGGUAGAGCACUGUUUCGGCAAGGGGGUCAUCCCGACUUACCAACCCGAUGCAAACUGCGAAUACCGGAGAAUGUUAUCACGGGAGACACACGGCGGGUGCUAACGUCCGUCGUGAAGAGGGAAACAACCCAGACCGCCAGCUAAGGUCCCAAAGUCAUGGUUAAGUGGGAAACGAUGUGGGAAGGCCCAGACAGCCAGGAUGUUGGCUUAGAAGCAGCCAUCAUUUAAAGAAAGCGUAAUAGCUCACUGGUCGAGUCGGCCUGCGCGGAAGAUGUAACGGGGCUAAACCAUGCACCGAAGCUGCGGCAGCGACGCUGAUGCGUUGUUGGGUAGGGGAGCGUUCUGUAAGCCUGCGAAGGUGUGCUGUGAGGCAUGCUGGAGGUAUCAGAAGUGCGAAUGCUGACAUAAGUAACGAUAAAGCGGGUGAAAAGCCCGCUCGCCGGAAGACCAAGGGUUCCUGUCCAACGUUAAUCGGGGCAGGGUGAGUCGACCCCUAAGGCGAGGCCGAAAGGCGUAGUCGAUGGGAAACAGGUUAAUAUUCCUGUACUUGGUGUUACUGCGAAGGGGGGACGGAGAAGGCUAUGUUGGCCGGGCGACGGUUGUCCCGGUUUAAGCGUGUAGGCUGGUUUUCCAGGCAAAUCCGGAAAAUCAAGGCUGAGGCGUGAUGACGAGGCACUACGGUGCUGAAGCAACAAAUGCCCUGCUUCCAGGAAAAGCCUCUAAGCAUCAGGUAACAUCAAAUCGUACCCCAAACCGACACAGGUGGUCAGGUAGAGAAUACCAAGGCGCUUGAGAGAACUCGGGUGAAGGAACUAGGCAAAAUGGUGCCGUAACUUCGGGAGAAGGCACGCUGAUAUGUAGGUGAGGUCCCUCGCGGAUGGAGCUGAAAUCAGUCGAAGAUACCAGCUGGCUGCAACUGUUUAUUAAAAACACAGCACUGUGCAAACACGAAAGUGGACGUAUACGGUGUGACGCCUGCCCGGUGCCGGAAGGUUAAUUGAUGGGGUUAGCGCAAGCGAAGCUCUUGAUCGAAGCCCCGGUAAACGGCGGCCGUAACUAUAACGGUCCUAAGGUAGCGAAAUUCCUUGUCGGGUAAGUUCCGACCUGCACGAAUGGCGUAAUGAUGGCCAGGCUGUCUCCACCCGAGACUCAGUGAAAUUGAACUCGCUGUGAAGAUGCAGUGUACCCGCGGCAAGACGGAAAGACCCCGUGAACCUUUACUAUAGCUUGACACUGAACAUUGAGCCUUGAUGUGUAGGAUAGGUGGGAGGCUUAGAAGUGUGGACGCCAGUCUGCAUGGAGCCGACCUUGAAAUACCACCCUUUAAUGUUUGAUGUUCUAACGUUGACCCGUAAUCCGGGUUGCGGACAGUGUCUGGUGGGUAGUUUGACUGGGGCGGUCUCCUCCUAAAGAGUAACGGAGGAGCACGAAGGUUGGCUAAUCCUGGUCGGACAUCAGGAGGUUAGUGCAAUGGCAUAAGCCAGCUUGACUGCGAGCGUGACGGCGCGAGCAGGUGCGAAAGCAGGUCAUAGUGAUCCGGUGGUUCUGAAUGGAAGGGCCAUCGCUCAACGGAUAAAAGGUACUCCGGGGAUAACAGGCUGAUACCGCCCAAGAGUUCAUAUCGACGGCGGUGUUUGGCACCUCGAUGUCGGCUCAUCACAUCCUGGGGCUGAAGUAGGUCCCAAGGGUAUGGCUGUUCGCCAUUUAAAGUGGUACGCGAGCUGGGUUUAGAACGUCGUGAGACAGUUCGGUCCCUAUCUGCCGUGGGCGCUGGAGAACUGAGGGGGGCUGCUCCUAGUACGAGAGGACCGGAGUGGACGCAUCACUGGUGUUCGGGUUGUCAUGCCAAUGGCACUGCCCGGUAGCUAAAUGCGGAAGAGAUAAGUGCUGAAAGCAUCUAAGCACGAAACUUGCCCCGAGAUGAGUUCUCCCUGACCCUUUAAGGGUCCUGAAGGAACGUUGAAGACGACGACGUUGAUAGGCCGGGUGUGUAAGCGCAGCGAUGCGUUGAGCUAACCGGUACUAAUGAACCGUGAGGCUUAACCUUACAACGCCGAAGCUGUU
rnacentral:rRNA from 1 species